GGGAGUGUGGCCGAGUGGUUAAGGCGCCCGCUUCAGGUGCAGGUCUCUUUUAAGAGGCGCGAGUUCGAACCUCGUCACUUCCA
rnacentral:tRNA from 1 species